UACGGAGGGUGCAAGCGUUACUCGGAAUCACUGGGCGUAAAGGACGCGUAGGCGGAUUAUCAAGUCUCUUGUGAAAUCCUAUGGCUUAACCAUAGAACUGCUUGGGAAACUGAUAAUCUAGAGUGAGGGAGAGGCAGAUGGAAUUGGUGGUGUAGGGGUAAAAUCCGUAGAGAUCACCAGGAAUACCCAUUGCGAAGGCGAUCUGCUGGAACUCAACUGACGCUAAUGCGUGAAAGCGUGGGGAGCAAACAGG
rnacentral:rRNA from 3 species